CAAUAGCGUAUAUUAAAGUUGUUGCAGUUAAAAAGCUCGUAGUUGGAUUUCUGACGUCUUUUUUCUUCCUUUCUUGUUCACAAAUUGUGGAUGUUAGGUUUGAUUGGACGUCUUCCUUCCCUGUUAAUUUGGUUUUCAAGCAUUAACUUGUUUGUGGAUCAAAUGGGGAUCAUUUACUGUGAAAAAAUUAGAGUGUUCAAAGCAAGUAUUUAAUUUCUUGAAUACAUUAGCAUGGAAUAAUAAGAUAGGACUUUGGUUAUAUUUUGUUGGUUUGCAAACUGAGGUAAUGAUUAAUAGGAACAUAUUGGGGAUAUCUGUAUUUUUUAGUCAGAGGUGAAAUUCUUGGAUUUAAGAAAGACAAACUACAGCGAAAGCAUUUAUCAAGGAUGUUUUCAUUGA
rnacentral:rRNA from 1 species